AGAGUUUGAUCAUGGCUCAGAAUGAACGCUGGCGGCGUGCUUAACACAUGCAAGUCGUACGAGAACUCUUUAGCUUGCUAAAGAUAGUAAAGUGGCGCACGGGUGAGUAACGCGUGGGUAAUCUACCCCUGAAUCCGGGAUAACAUUGCGAAAGCGAUGCUAAUACCGGAUAAUAUCUGAAUUAGUACUCUUUUUCAGAUCAAAGGUGGCCUCUAUAAAUAAGCUACUGUUUGGGGAUGAGCCCGCGUACCAUUAGCUAGUUGGUAGGGUAAUGGCCUACCAAGGCUACGAUGGUUAGCUGGUCUGAGAGGAUGAUCAGCCACACUGGAACUGACACACGGUCCAGACUCCUACGGGAGGCAGCAGUGAGGRAUUUUGCGCAAUGGGGGAAACCCUGACGCAGCRACGCCGCGGUAAUAASGCWYUCGAGUCGUAAAGCCCUGUCAAGUGGGAAGAAGUGUAGUAUACGUUAAUACCGUAUGCAUUUGACGGU
rnacentral:rRNA from 1 species